AGCCCAAUGUCACAACACCUGGGGCCAUGGAGAGGAGAAAGAUCCUUGCAUCAAGCUCAAGUUUGAUUUCUAUCCUAUGGAAGCCAAGGACCCUCUUGACUAGUCCUUCAGGAUCCUCCUCUGGGUCCUGGGACCCGGCCUGCCUACAUCAGAAGGAAGGUCCUCAGUCCUAUUCCCUCAGAGUUUUGAAAACAUUACUCCACUGCCAUCCAGCAUCCAGUGUUGUGGAUAAGAAGUCUGAUUCUUCCAUUCUAUGUGGCUUGUCUUCUCUCCUUCCCAUCAAGCCACCAGACAAGAAGUCUCAAGCUUCCUAUUCAAAGUAAGAUACUCCCAUCAACAUCUUUUCCUUCUCAUCUCCCCUCAACCUUCCAGCAUGCCAUACUACUUUGCCUCCAGAACAAAGAAAGAGAGCUUUGGGAACAACUCAGAUUCCUGGCAUUAGUCCCUGGGAUUCCCCACGAGGAUGCAUUCACUUGCCCCUACUCCACUAAACCACUUGUGACCAUGUCAGAGCUUCCUUAUAGGUGUUCAAUAAAUAAAUUAAACUCUCUGGAAAUAAGAGACCCUCAGGAAUCUCACUUCUCUUCCUUGUUUAUCCAAGUGCCACCAGAAACUGAAACUCCCCAGGUUCUCCAUCAACAUAUCCCUGUGAUCACCUGGGCCCACCCAAAAAUGGUCCUAUUUCCUAUCAUUCCCAAACCUUCUACUAUGACCACUGGAAUUCAUGACACAUAGCCUGUAAAAUUCCUUCCUCCUUCUGAAACCCCAGCAACAUUUGAAUGUGGGCAUCAGGCAUUGCCUCCUUAGUUCUCUCAUUUACCACCCUACCUCUUACCCACUACCACCACUCUCCUUAAUUUGUUAAUGACUCUAAUAUUUAGAGUUUUUUAGUGUUUUAGUGUCUUAUUGCUGUUAUAACAAAUUACCACAAAUCCAUUGGCUUAAAACAUCAGAAAUUUCUUAUCUUACAGUUCUGGAGUCUAAAAUAAUUUCAGCAGGACUAUGUUCCUUCUAGAGGUACUACCUUCUAGAGGGGAAAAUUUGUUUCCAUGCCUUUUUCUAGCUUCUAGAAGCUACCCACAUCCUUGGCCCAUGAUCUCACAUCACUUGAAACCCUGCCUCCAUCAUCACAUCUCCUGAUCCUAUUGCCUGACUCUUAUAAGGACGCUUGUGAUUAAAUUGUCCCUCACUCUGUAAUCCAAGAUCCCCACCUGAAGAUCUUUCACUUACUCAUAUAUGCAAAGUCUCUUUUGGCACAUAUUGUGGCACAUGUGCUCACAAUUCCAGAGAUUAGAGCAUGGGUGUUUCAGGGAGCCAUUAUUGUGCUUACCACACCACCUUCCCUUCCACCCCUAGUCCUAUCACCAUUCUUGGGGCAUCUUCAUCCAUUGGAAGAUCCAUCCAACAUCUGGACCUCUCAGCUCCUUAUCACUUUAAUCAUCUUUUUUUCUACCACACCUCAGUCACCUGUCCCAUGCUCAUACUCAUGAACUUGCCAUUACCAAUAACCCACUUUCCUCCAGAA